UACAUGGUUUUGAGGCUAACACAGCGAGUAAAAGAGAUCGCUAAAAGGGUUUAUUAUGCAUAACUAUUCAACUAUUCUUUAAGAGUAGAGCUUUCCUACCCUAAAUAUUUAGCUGAGUACAUCUGUAAGAAAAAAAGCUAUCCUAGUGGGAAUUAAGGGGGUUAGGACAGACAAAAAUUAUUGAAUUUUGAAAUUUUGGUGUGCGACCCUGGCUGUCAGGUAUAUAAUUAUUUCUUUUAUCUCCCCUGCAGAUCCUCUACAAUUACCUAUUUUUGAUGUAUGAAAGGGUGCUGUAUUCCUCGUCACACCCCUCAAAAGAAUAACGUUUGCGGCAGAGAUCGACGUGGCACUCCGUGGCAAUUCCACCAUGAAGUAGUAACCCACUUAGGGCUUUCUGUGCUUGAAACUGACGCAUGCGCAAUAAGAACAGUCAUGAUCCAAGAUGGCGGAUGUUGUGGGAUGUCAAGAUGGAUAGAGUUACCUGAAUCUUGACUUCUUGUUUUUGAAUAUGGCCACAGACUCGUCAGUGGGUAGUUCACACAUUGAACACCUUUUGGCAGAAGUAGAAUCGAGUGACGGGCUGCUUGGACCAACGUUAAGAGCGGUGUAUGAUGGAGAAUAUCAAAAGGAGUUUAUGGAAAAGCUNGAGGAUAGGAUUAAGGUUCAUGAUAAAGACAUAGAACGAAUGUGUAAUUAUCAUUAUCAAGGGUUCAUUGAAUCGGUGAAUGAACUCCUCAAAGUACGCGGUGAAGCAAGGAAACUCAAGAUAAAGGUUCAAGAAGGCAAUGAAGUUUUGAAGAAGUCUGGAACUGAGCUUGUUGACAGAUGUGAAGAGCUUAUAAAGUGUCGUACAAUACAAAGAAACAUUGCAUCAGCCAUUGAAGCCCUCAGUGUCUGUCUACCAGUGCUGGAUAUGCAUGCAAAGUUAAGUGAUCAAAUGAGUAAUAGAAGAUACUAUCCAGCUCUCAAAACAUUAGAACAACUGGAACACACCUAUCUACCACGAAUCAAAAAAUUUAGGUUUGCUGAAAUUAUGAAAAAUAGUAUUCCUAUAUUCAGAGAGAACAUCAAAGAAGCAUCCAUGUCUGAUUUAAGGGAUUUUCUUGAAAGUAUUAGAAAAGAAUCAGAGAAACUUGGGUCUGUUGCUAUGAAACAAGCAUUUCACAGAAGUAACCUUACCCUGUCACAUGGUGUUGGAACAAGAAAGAAGGGUGAUGAUGAUGAGUUAGAUCAGUCUGCUUUGGAUCUUGUUGACUUCUCUCCUGUAUAUAGAUGUUACCACAUCUAUACUGUUGUAGGAGAAAAGGAGAAUUUUGAAGUGUAUUACAGAAAGCAACGCAGAAAACAAGCAAGACUUGUGUUGCAGCCUAAUCAUGGAACAAUUGAUGAGUCACUUGAGGCAUACAGAGCAUAUUUUCAUCAAAUAGUAGGUUUCUUUGUGGUAGAAGAUACAAUAUUGCACACAGCAAAGGGUCUAGUUACAAGAUCCACUGUUGAUGAUCUUUGGGAUAUGGCUGCAUCCAAAAUAGCUGCUGUAAUGAGGACACAAUCUGCCUAUUGCAAAGAAACAGACCUUCUUAUUCAAGUCAAAGAGUUGAUUGUCUGGUUUUGCUAUACUCUAUCAGGAUAUGGACUCAAUGUUAAUCAAAUAUAUGAUGUUUUGAUAGAGAUGAGAAAUCUCUAUAAUGAAACAUUGAUGAAGAAAUGGGAAGGAGACUUCAAACAGAUAUUAGAGGUUGAUAACUACUCGCCUAUGUAUAUUGAAGAAUGUACAAAAUACCAGGACGUAUUAAAUGAAUUUCCUUACACAGAUAAACCAACCAAGAAUGUGUCUUUGCCUAAGGUGCUUCCUUUCUCUGAGUGUCCUGUCAAACUGUACAAAGAAUUUAAAAAGUUCAUAAAUGCUUGCUUGAAGUUUAAUGAACACCUCAAUGUCAGUCAAACAGAAAUUGGAGACUCAGUUAGAAAAUCAACGAAUUUGUUGUUAACUCGGACCUUAAAUGGAUGUUUUACAUCAGUCGUCAAAAGAAAAGAAGUUUCCAUUCCACAGCUUGCACAAUUAUCCAUAAACACUGUGCACUUGGAGGCAGCUUGCUUGCAUUUAGAGGAAUAUGUUUCAGAAGUGACAGGGACAGCUAAUGAUGGUGUCAACGUUACACGGGUUUAUGGUUUAUCAACAUUUAAAGAUAUACGUGCUGAGAUAGAGCAGCAAAUGUAUGAAAGACUGAAUGAAAAGAUCGAAGACUUCAUACAACUGGCCAACUACAAUUGGGUUCCAUCUGGACCAAGAAAACAGCCAAGCAGUUACAUUAUGGACUUAUUAGCAUAUUUGAACAGCACAUUUUUGAAUUUCUCAGCUCUUCCUGGAAACAUUGCUCAAACAGCUUGUCUGUCAUCUUGUAAACAUCUUGCUUCAAGCAUGAGAACUCUUUUAUUGGAUGAGGAGGUCUAAUGGGUGACCUUUCCAAAUCUGGGUUACCUAUGGGGGUCUGCUGGGUCAUCUACAGGGUCUGAUGGGCCAUCUACCAUGUCUGAUGGCUCACUUACCAUGUCAAAUGGGUCACUUACCAUGUCUGAUGGGUCACCUGUCAUGUCUGAUGAGUCACCUACCAUGUCUGAUGGGUCACCUACCAGGUCUGAUGGGUCACUUACCAUGUCUGAUGGGUCACCUACCAGGUCUGAUGGGUUACUUACCAGGUCUGAUGNGUCACCUACCAUGUCUGAUGAGUCACCAACUGUACCAGGUCAGAUGGGUCACCUACCAUGACUGAUGGGUCAAAUACCAGGUCUGAUGGGUCAGCUACCAUGUCUGAUGGGUCACCAACUGUACCAGGUCUGAUGGGUCACCUACCAGGUCUGAUGGGUCACCUACCAGGUCUGAUGGGUCACUUACCAGGUCUGAUGGUUCUCCUCCCAGGUUCGGCAAAUGAAUGAAUUUGGAAUCCAGUGCUUCAACCAGGACCUAAGAAAAUGUGAAGAAUUUGCCAAUUCCAAUCCAGUGGAAGGUAUAAGUGAUGGGACACUGCAAAUGACGUUCCUUGAGCUACGUCAG
rnacentral:misc_RNA from 1 species